UGAUUGUUUCAAAACAGAAAAGGAGAAAGCCAAAGGGAUUUUUAUUUUGUGUUGACAAUGAGCAGACACAAGCAGAUAAUGUCUGAACUGGGACAUGAGCUCAUCUAUCUGUUAGGUUUGACUCAUCAGGACUUUGCCUCACACAACAUUUCAAAACAUGAAUCACACUUUGGAACCAUCAUCCCUCAGAUAUCCUCCUAUUCUGCAUCCAAGGCUGACAGGUCUGGAUUAAAACAUUUCUCAAGGACAAAAACAUUUUUAGAUAAUACCCACGUCUCUUUAGGACUGAUAACAUUGCAGAUCAAAUGUGUCUUGGUGACAGCUUGUCCUUGAAGCCUACAUUUAUGGUAUUGGUUGACUUAGUGGAGAGGACAGAAUUGUAUCAGAAUUAAACAAAAAUGUAUAAUUUCAGAGUUAGAAUGUAAGGUCCACACUCUACGCUCAAAAAACAUGUUUGAGCAAGUGAACUUCACAACUCAAUUCCAAAUGAAACCCUAGACUCAACACCAUACAAACUUGCAGAUAUCUGUAAGGUUUUAUCCUAUAAUCAAUAUGGUGUGACCUAUUAGUUCUAGUUAUAUACAAAUUUGGCCCUGUGGCUAGAGAAAGUUUCACUAUAUACCUGAUAAGAGAAGCAGAAUAAAAGGUCUAAAGUUGAGAACCACUGCUGUAGGGCACAGGGUCUAGUGUUCCCUUUACAUCACUUAGAAAACCUGUUGGGGGAGUUUGUCAAACAUAAACAUAUAGAUGACCUGUUUUUGCAUGUUGUAAAUGAGGUGGAUUGGGGGCUCUGGUGGAAGGGGGCAAAGGUGCUGAGCCAUGGUACCAACAGUAGUGCAGGGGGGCUGAGCCAUGGUACCAACAAUAGUGCAGGGGUGUCAGUAUUUUUCUCCCUUGGUCUGGGCGUCAAUAUUAAGUUGUCAAAGGAAGUGUGUGGCGGCAGGUUGUUGGUUGUAAAGGCAGAGAUUGAGAAUGUGCUGUUUGUUUUUAAUAAAUGUGUAUGCACCUAGUACAGGGCGGGAGUGGGGAGUGUUUUUUGGGUGCUAACGCAAAGAGCUGGCACUGAUAGAACAGGCUGAGGUGCUGGUUUUAGGGGGGGGUUGGAACUGCAUGAUUGAUUUUACCAGGGACCGGAAUGGUGAGGAGCCACAUCCAGUCUCUGCAGGGGUGCUGAAUUAUGUAUUGAUUCAGUAUGACUUGGUGGAUGUUUGGGCAACUCUGCAUCCAACCACCAGACAGUAUACCUGGGUGAAGGUAGUCGGGGGGAGGGUUUGUAUAUACCUGGGUGAAGGUAGUCGGGGGAGGGUUAGUAUAUACCUGGGUGAAGGUAGUUGGGGGGAGGGUUUGUAUAUACCUGGGUGAAGGUAGUCGGGGGGAGGGUUAGUAUAUACCUGGGUGAAGGUAGUUGGGGGGAGGGUUUGUAUAUACCUGGGUGAAGGUAGUUGGGGGGAGGGUUAGUGCCUCUUGCCUGGAUCGUGUUUAUAUGUUCAGGCACCAGAACAAUAGGCUGGUGUCGGCCUCCAUACUCCCAGUUAGGUUUAUCAUAUUACCAGGUCUCAGCUCUCUGUUACACCGGGGCUCCGGCAUGCGUCCUACUGGAAAUGUAAUGUAAAGCCCUUACUAGAUGCUGCUUUUUGCUCUUGUUUUAUUAAAUUUUGGGGGUGUUGGGUGCAGCGGAAGGAUGAUUAUGAGUCUCUUAGUCUGUGGUGGGAUGUUGGGAGGACACAGAUUUGGCUUUUUUGUCAACAAUUUACGUCUUUUUCCUCAGCUGAAUCUAGGAGAGUGUUGGGGAAACUUGAACAGAACUUAAGUGAGACGGAGGCUGAGUUGCUCGGGCAAAACGGGGGGGGCUGGUUUCGAACCUGCCUGAAUUGCGUAGGGAUCUGGGUGCAUUUCUUGAGUUGAAAGCAAAGGGGGCACUUGUAAGAGCUAGGUUUUCUAUUUUGAAUGAGAUGGAUGCUCCCAGCUCCUCCUUUUUUGGCUUGGAAACACAGAGUGGAGAAAGGAAGCGUAUGCACUGUUUACGUAUGGCUGAUGGUCGGGUUUCUUCUGUUGUGGGGGAGAUGGGCGAGGUCUUCUGUUGUGGGGGAGAUGGGCGAGGUCUUCUGUUGUGGGGGAGAUGGGCGAGGUCUUCUGUUGUGGGGGAGAUGGGCGAGGUCUUCUGUUGUGGGGGAGAUGGGCGAGGUCUUCUGUUGUGGGAGAGAUGGGCGAGGUCUUCUGUUGUGGGGGAGAUGCAGGAGCGAGCUGUGGAGUUCUAUUCUGAUUUAUAUAGGGCUGAAAAGGUCACACUAUCACAGACAAUCUGUUUUUGAUCAGGGAUAUGUUGGAUUUGUCAGGGUCUUCGAAGACUGGUUUCUUUGGACCAGGAAAAGGCGUUUGACAGGGUGGAUCAUAUAUAUUUGUUUAGGGGGUUGUCUGCUUUUGGGAGUGGGGAGCGGUUUUUGUCCUGGGUUAAAAUGUUGUAUGCUGGGGCUUCUUGUCUGGUGAAGGUGGGAGGGGGGCUCAGUAGGCCUGUCCGGUGGGGAGGGGCAUACGUCAGGGUUGUCCUCUAUCUGGGCAGUUCUACACCCUUGCUAUUGAGCCCUUUUUGGGUCUGUUAUGCAGGAAACUGUCUCAGUCCUGUUGAAGGACCAGGAUGUCCUGGCGUUGGAGUCGUGUUUAAGGGUGUAUGAGGGGGAAUCAUCUGCCAGGUUGAACUGGGGUAAGAGUGGAGCAUUGCUGUGUGGGGCAUGGGGGGACAGGGUACCUCCUGGGCUUCCUGGGGGGUUGAACUGGGGUAAGAGUGGGGCAUUGCUGUGUGGGGCAUGGGGGGACAGGGUACCUCCUGGGCUUCCUGGGGGGUUGAACUGGGGUAAGAGUGGGGCAUUGCUGUGUGGGGCAUGGG
ensembl:lncRNA